GUUACAAGGCUUGGGGUGCUCUCCUUGGAAGGCAGUUAGCAGAGAGAGGAAUUAUAGUAGCUUGUAUUGAUUACAGAAAUUUCCCUCAAGGAACAAUAAGCGACAUGGUCAGUGAUGCUUCUGAGGCGAUAUCAUUCAUUUGUAACAAUGUUGUUAGCUUUGGAGGGGAUCCUAAUAAAAUCUACUUGAUGGGUCAAUCAGCAGGAGCACAUAUCGCGGCCUGCGCUCUCUUAGAGCAAGCAAUUAAGGAAUCUAAGGGAGAGAAUACCUAUUGGAAUGUGGCUCAAAUAAAAGCAUAU